AUCUGUGUUGCUGGUUGCAGCAUCAGGCCAGAUCUCCUCCAAGACAAUGGCUGGACAAACCCCAAUGAUAGAGAUUUAUCCGGCCACUGAACCAUUGGGACGACGCUGCUCCCACUCCUGUUCUGCAAGUAACUGAUACCGUAUUGUAAGUACAGUAAUGCAGCUUCUAUUUCUCAUCGAUUAAAGCAUUUCAACCGUAGGCUGACCUUGAAAGAGAAGCUGAUCCUCUUCUCCCCCGGGAACUUUCCAUGGGCUUGCAGGACUCCACCGCCGACAGGGAGGAAAGCGCGCGUCGUGAAGCCAUCGCCAGCCACAUACCUUAGUUGCCCAUUUGGGAAUUGCAUGUCCAUGAAUGACUGAACAAAUGCUCAGUUAGAGAUGGACGUGAAAAAAUUGUAAUGACAUGU
rnacentral:lncRNA from 1 species